rnacentral:rRNA from 1 species
GACGAACGCUGGCGGCGUGCCUAAUACAUGCAAGUCGAACGAGAGCGACCGGUGCUUGCACUGGUCAAUCUAGUGGCGAACGGGUGAGUAACACGUGGGUAACCUGCUCAUCAGAGGGGGAUAACAUCCGGAAACGGAUGCUAAAACCGCAUAGGUCUUCGAGCCGCAUGGCUUGAAGAGGAAAAGAGGCGCAAGCUUCUGCUGAUGGAUGGACCCGCGGUGCAUUAGCUAGUUGGUGAGGUAACGGCUCACCAAGGCCGUGAUGCAUAGCCGACCUGAGAGGGUGAUCGGCCACAUUGGGACUGAGACACGGCCCAAACUCCUACGGGAGGCAGCAGUAGGGAAUCUUCCGCAAUGGACGCAAGUCUGACGGAGCAACGCCGCGUGAGUGAAGAAGGUUUUCGGAUCGUAAAACUCUGUUGUUAGAGAAGAACAAGUGCUAGAGUAACUGUUAGCGACUUGACGGUAGCUAACCAGAAAGCCACGGCUAACUACGUG